AAGAGAAACUUCAGGGAGAAAGGAAGGGAUGGGUUACAUUAAAUAGAAAACACAGAGUUUGAGGAUUUCUGUAAUAUGGUGAAAACAAACAUUCAUCAGAAGGACAGACAGACAAUUAUUGGCUUGGGGAAAAAACAAAGGAGAAGCCAUACCAGAUACCAUGGUCCUAAUAUAAAGCAAGCCCCAUAAAAUGUGACAUGACUUUGGAAACAGAAUAUGGGAAAAAAAAAUUUAAGUGAGUACUGGGAUCGUAACACUGGACUUGUAGAGGAGGAAAUGUAAUCUUCAACAAUGCUUGGCUCUGACUCUUACGAGAAUAUUUAUACAGUGAUAAUGAUCUAAUGCUAUUUUAUUUCCAGCUUUAAAAUAGACAAAUCCCUUAAGUC
rnacentral:lncRNA from 1 species